rnacentral:rRNA from 1 species
UACGGGGGGGGCAAGCGUUGAUCGGAAUUAUUGGGCGUAAAGGGCGCGUAGGCGGUGCUGUAAGUCUGUAGUGAAAUCUCUGGGCUCAACUCAGAGUCUGCUAUAGAAACUGCAGUGCUGGAGUGUGGGAGAGGUGAGUGGAAUUCCCGGUGUAGCGGUGAAAUGCGCAGAUAUCAGGAGGAACACCGGUGGCGAAGGCGGGUCUCUGGGCCGAUACUGACGCUGAGGAGCGAAAGCGUGGGGAGCGAACAGG